UGGGUGGAGCUUUGAAUACAGUUAAUAUUGUCGUCUGCAAACAAAAUAGCGGCCGGUCGCAAAUGUCGUAUUAUAAGAUUAAAAAUGGAAAUAAGCGUGACAAUAAAUUAAUUAUUUCCAAGCUGACUAUCGAUCUAAAGUAAAGAGUGAUAAUUAAAUAAUUAGUUCUAUGUCGUUGAUGUUACAACUUUCUGCCAAUUUUCGAUUGAAAUGAAAGGUGAUAAUUAAUUAAUUUGAUCGUUUUACUCAUACACUAUGCUAACUAACAGCGGCGUAUUUUAAUCAAAGGAAAACGUGAAAAACACGCGCGGUUUAAUUGCAAUAAUUAAAGUUUAAUUAAAGUAACGAAUUUGUAACACAUUGAAAGAGUAAUUCAUAUCGUCUACAAUAUAAAGUAACCACUUUGUCCGUACAGUCGCUAACAUGGCUUCUUUAACCUUAAGGCGUCCUUUGGACGAAAAUGAGUCUGAACAAAAAAAAAUAAAAAAAAAAUAGAGCAUUCCAAGAGUCAUGGAAAGUUGAUAAUGAUUGGCUUUGCUUUGAGAAUGAAUCAAAAUCAAUGAACUGUGACCUAUGCAUUAAGAUGCAGAAUUCCAACAUGUUCACUGUAGGUUGCAAUAUCCUGAAAAAGACUCGGUGACAAAACAUGCAAAGUCUAAAGGUGCAGAUAAACAAGUGUAAUGCUCCCGAAGAAUGUUUGGGCCAAACAAUAUCUAAGAAACAAAAAGUUGAUAAAAAUGCAGAAAGAUAUAGCCAACUCAUUGAAGGUGACGACAUGCAGGUGUGACUGUAUGCACGACUGUUACUGCUGCCUGGGUAUUAUGUGAGCAAGAAACACGUCUGGAUUAUAAUUUGGACACACAUGUACAGCUGUUUUGUGAAUAUGAUAAAUUAUGUAUGCUAUAUUUGCAUUUUUGAUGGGUUUUUAGAUGUUUAAUGUUCAAUACAUCAGACAAACUCGGAAGUUUUUUUUUUAAAUCGAAUAUUAAUUUAUCAAACAAAAUCCCAUGAACUACAACCAUAUGUUUAUAGCUUUACACUUCAAGAACAACUAUUUUUGUGUAUUAUGAUUAUAUAUUUGUUAAUGAGAUACAAUUUUGAGUUGAAAUAUUAUGAAUUUUGUUAUGCCAGCGUAAUAUUUGAUUUUGGUCUGUAAAUAAGAAAUUAUUGGAAAUGCAAGAGAUUCGCUUAUGAGUUGGAAUGUUUUAAAUUUUGUCACGCCGGCAUAACAUUUUAAAUUUUUGUCUGUAAAUAGGAAUUGUUUGGACAUUUAUCAGCCAUUCACUUUCUGUAGAAAUGUUAUGAAUCUUGUUACGCUUGUAUAGCAUUUAGGUUUGGGUCUGUGAAUAUGAAAUUAUUGGAAAUACAAGAGAUUAACUUAUGAGUUGAAAUGUUUGGAUUUUUGUUAAGCUGGCAUAUUAUUUUGAAUUUGGGUCUGUAAAAAGCAAUGAUAGGAAACUUGAGAGCAAUGCACUUUCUGUGGAAAUAUUACUUAUUUUGUUAUGCCGGCGUAACAUUUGAGAUUGGGUCUGUAAAUAAGUAAUUAUUUGAAAUGCAAGCAAUUUACUUUUAAUUUAAAAUGUUUGGAAUUUUGUUACGCUGGCAUAACAUUUUAUGUUUCAGUCUGUAAAUAAGAAAUCAUUCGAAAUGCAAGUGAUUCACUUUUAGUUGAAAUGUUUGGAAUUUUGUCACACUGGCAUAACAUUUACAGUUUUGGUCUGGAAAUAAGAAAUUAUUAGGAAUGCAAGCGAUUCACCUUUGAGUUAAAAUGUAAUGAAUUUUGUUAAGCUGGCGUAACAUUUUUUUUGUUUUCAAAAAAUUAGCAUGUCGAAAUUAUCACAAAAAAACCCUGUAAAACACCCCUUUUAAUUGGGAUUCAUGGACAUUCCAUUUUUAAAAUAGACAGAUUUUUAUGAAUUUUGUGAGUUUGUACCGCCAGCGUAACAUUUAAAGUGGAAUGAUUUAUUUGGUGAUGUUAUAAUGAACCUUUGUGAGUUUGUACCGCCAGCGUAACAUUUUCAAAGAAUUAUCUGUCUAUGUGAUUAUGAACCUUGGGGAGUUUGUACCGCCGGCGUAA